CUGUUGAUGAAGUUAGGUGCUGUUCUGAGCAUUAUUUGAGGCUAUAGAGUGGCGUUUUGGUUGAGGUUUGCACGUGAAGACAUAGACCGCUGUGUAUUGCUAUUGUGCGGUCGUUACUAAAGUUGGUAUAAUUAGAGAAGUAAGCAAUAGACAACAUUCAUCUCUCAAGGGAGUGUCUAACUCAGUGUGUGACCAUAUUUUAAAUUUACACCGAAAUAUCCCUUUAAAUGUGACUGUUAAUGGACACCUUGCUACCAAUCAAUAUCCAGAAGUCUCUCUGAUCAUGAACAAACUUUCCUGCAUUUAAAAAAUUAAAACCAGCUCUUCAGAGAGUCAGUUACUGUCCCUGAAUAUUUCCACCCAGACUCCUAAUUUUCCCUUUUUUUAUAUCACUGAACCUCUUAUCUAAACUUUAUUAGCCCAGAUUUGGUCUUGACUGCAGCCUUGAUCUACAGUUAAUCAGAUUUAAUCGAGUCAUGUUGUUUUCACGGCGGCAUCGACCUUCUCCGCACCUUGACAGGCCACACACUCCGCCGGGGUCACCGGCACGAGGAGGCGGCGAGGUCCUGGAGAGCAUUAUUGAGUUUUCUGUGACAUGAAUUAUGAUAAAUUAUCGGUCAAUAAUUCAACACGUGUGUCAGAUAGAGUAUAUUUACAGGACCACCUGGCGUCUCCUGAAUAGAGGUUACACUAUGGGGAGUAAAUAAAUAAUACAGCUUUUAUUUUUUUACCUCACGCUUUAAUACCAUUAAAUAUUCAGCUAUUUGGAUGAUCAAAUUUGCUGCUAAAUUACAGCUUCCCUGUUGAUAGGACUGGGAGGAGAGGUGGCCAACGGGUGCUGCAGUGGGAACCCAGCCAGAGAGACACAACACACUCCCGCAGACACACUCAUGCAUGUCUGCGUGAGAGAGAGGAGCACGCAAAUACAUACACAAAAUACAUGAACGCACAUUCACAGCCCCAGGUGGCGCAUGCUGGCAUACACCGCCUUACCUGAUGAUGCUGUAUGCAUCAACGAACACAUCCAAAAAUGAUGCGAUGUUUACCCAAAGAGGGUCUGGUUGGAGUCGGGAUUGAGUCUGAGGAAAAAGGAGGAUUAUUGGAGAAAUAAUGCAGGAAUAAAUACAUCCUCAGCCGCUGUGUUUUUCUCUAUUACAGCACAUAAUACAAGCUUCAUUUUCCCAGGCUGUGCCCUUUGACAGACUGGUGCAGUUAUUAGUAUUAACCACUGUUAGAAUCAUCAGCAGAAGAAAAAAAAUUGGCAUCCCUAACCAUGAUAUGAGAAUUGGUAAGCAAAAUGAGAAAUGAAGCAAUUAGAGAGGUUCACAUACAUUAUUUAGCGCUCAUUAGCUUCCUGUGACACUGCAGGCUCCACACCAAUGAAAAGUGUUGGCCGGGCUCAGGCAAUUAGUAAAAUUAGUGGCACAGGAUUUGGCGUUGAUUCAGGCCACAUGGCCCAGAAGAUACCAGACUGGUGUCAGUCGUGUAAUUUAUAACUUUGCACAUGAAAUAAUAGGUUUGAAAAAUCACGGGGGCUACCAGCGUGUCAACCUGUAUUAUCCAGGAGACAAGGGUUGUCCUGGACGGAGGGAACAGCAGCAGAUUUCUCAGCGAGUGCGGCGGGUGCAGUCGGCCAUUUUGCGUCUGUGGGAGAAAAAUAGGGGGACAGAGGUCCAAGCGGAUGGUAAUUAGCAGUCUGGGUUGUGUUUGUUUUCAUUUUGCGCAUGUUUGUGCUGAUAAAGUUUGACUUGCCAAAAAAUCCCAGUCCCGUGCUGGAUUCCGCUCAAGCUGUUCCCCAGCAUCCUUCAGGAACGAUGGGAAAUCUUGUACACUGCCACCGGUCACAGCACAAACAGACGGUGGUAAUCAGUGAUUAGUGGACAUGUUACAGUAUACAGAGAUAAGCCCACACCCCAACCCUUCAGUCUGAAUCAAUAACAGCACAUGAAAUACAUCGACUGUACAUGUUUGGGGGCAGAUACUCUGUGAUGAAGCUGGAAAAUAACCUCGGAGGGUUUGUAGAAAUCUAUUCAAGCACCACAAACACGGCUGUGAGUUAAAAUGCUUUAAUAUUUUCCUUCUCUGAGUGCUUAAGAAACACAAAAAGCUUAUUUUUAUUCCCUUUAAGUCCAGCUCUGAAUGACUGUACGUCCCCCGUCCAGCUCAAUAACAUUUUUUCAGCCUCUUUAUCAUUACAGGGAAAAAAAGGCGGCAGAGAACAAGCAAACCAAAUAAACAGGUGUUGUGUGCUUUAGAAAUAGCUAAUGCUAACGUGUUGUGGAAUAGAGAGGCAUAAUUAUACUGUGCUGGAUUAUGGAAAACAUUGUGCAUGUUAAUUACACCAGGUAUGCUCAUUGAUUUUCUGUUAUAAUACUUAAAUGUGUCAUUAAUAAUUCAUUUUGCUGCCAGCCCGUUCCAUUUUUCAUGCACCUGUGUUGUUGAAGUGAAUGACGCUGUGUCACUGCUGAUGAUGGCGACGCAGUUCAUCAUGGGAAGUAAUUUCUCCACUGACACCUACUUAUUUGUCUUUUAUGAGACGCUGACAAUGUCCAUAUUGUAAGGAACAGACUGACCGUCUCUUUUCUCUUCUUUGAAAAUCUAUGAGACCGUCUGAGAGCGUCUCUCUCUCUCUCUCUCU
rnacentral:lncRNA from 1 species